UGGGGGAUCGUCUAGCGGUAGGACAGGCGACUCUGGAUCGUCUAGCCGAGGUUCGAAUCCUCGUCCCCCAG
rnacentral:tRNA from 1 species